GAUGUACGCUGGCGGCGUGCCUAACACAUGCAAGUCGAGCGAAGCGCUUAAAUUAGAUUUCUUCGGAAUGACGAUUUUUGUGACUGAGCGGCGGACGGGUGAGUAACGCGUGGGUAACCUGCCUCAUACAGGGGGAUAACAGUUAGAAAUGACUGCUAAUACCGCAUAAGACCCCAGCUUCGCAUGAAGCGGUGGUAAAAACUCCGGUGGUAUGAGAUGGACCCGCGUCUGAUUAGCUAGUUGGUAAGGUAACGGCUUACCAAGGCGACGAUCAGUAGCCGACCUGAGAGGGUGACCGGCCACAUUGGGACUGAGACACGGCCCAGACUCCUACGGGAGGCAGCAGUGGGGAAUAUUGCACAAUGGGGGAAACCCUGAUGCAGCGACGCCGCGUGAAGGAUGAAGUAUUUCGGUAUGUAAACUUCUAUCAGCAGGGAAGAAAGUGACGGUACCUGACUAAGAAGCCCCGGCUAACUACGUG
rnacentral:rRNA from 1 species